rnacentral:rRNA from 1 species
UUUCGAACGCACAUUGCGGUCCAUGGAUUCCGUUCCCGGGCCACGUCUGGCUGAGGGUCGGCAA